GACAGAAGAGAACGCAUGGCCGAGCUGUACCUGAGUGGCAGCCCAUAUCCUCUCUCAGGUCACAGGCUGGGACUCAAGCCAGGAGAAAUAACCUGCCAAGGUCACACAUCUCUUGACUGCACAUCUGACUUGCAAAGCCCCCUCUCCACUGGCCACCGCAGCGACGGGGAGGGGAAGACAAUUUCAGCUUGCAAGGAGUGCAGCCACAGGCCCCGGGGCAGAGCGGCAACAGAGGCCAGCGUUCCUCCGGCCCCCCAGGCCCCAUGCCUCAGUGCCUCGGCACAGGUAGCCUCCAAAGCAGAAAUCAAACUAAAGAGUCGGUAAGUGAAAUACAUUUAGUCUCCUUGCUUGGCAUACACAGCCUCACAGCAGCCUGGACACCGGCCUCAAAGGCAGAAUUCUCAGGCUCCCCGGAGGCGCCCAGGCGCCCACAGUGCGGGGCCGGGGAGCUGGCCCCAUCUGUUCCCACAGCCUGGCUGCACCCUGCAAUGCAAGGGCCUUGCCUGCAUGCACGCGUGGACCCCCAGUCUGCAGUCCAGGUGUCCCCCAGGUGUCCCGCUAGGGCCCAGGGCUGUGAACACCUGCAGGGCAGGCCUCUCGGGAGAAGAUGGGCCCAGGAGGGUGCCCCGGGUGGGUCUGGUUGCCUCAAGCAACCCCCGUGCCCCACCCAGAACCCAGGCCCUCCUGUGCACCGUGUCCUGCUUGUUCCCGCUCCUCCAGCCUCCAGCUGUGAGCGCAGGACCCUGCGGGCCCUUUCCUCCGAGGCCCUUGUAACUGUCACCAAGUAAACAGUACCGGAGAUGCGCUGAUGCCCCUUGGAGAACUAACGCGCGGCUUGGGACUUUACUUUCUUUACUCAGAUAAACAUAUACAAGCUUGUGUUUCCCUCCUUGCUGUGGCUACCAGAGAGCUCGCUACACUUCAGCUCAGUAAUUCCAUCACCUUCGCUUCCUCCUCCUCCCGCUUGAGGUUUUCAAUUUUCUAUUCCCAGUUUUAGCAACCUUGUUGAACCGCAUGUCUUUCAUUGGAUGCUGCCUCAAAUCCUUUUGAGGAGCUGACAGGGUAUAAAUUAUAAAUAAAAAUAAAUCCCGCUGAAA